GUCCACGGCCACGCCGCCCUGAACAAGCCCAAUCCCGUCUGAUCUCGGAAGCUAAGCAGGGUCGGACCUGGUUAGUACCUGGAUGGGAGACCACCUAGGAAGACCAGGUGCUGUAGGCA
rnacentral:rRNA from 1 species